rnacentral:lncRNA from 1 species
ACAGCCAAUCAGUAGGAAGUGGCUUCUGCCUCCAUUCUGACUUCCAAAUCUCUUGCAAAUGCAUAUAAUUGGUUGAACCUAAUUCACAGUUAGAACCCCAGCUGCAAGUGAGACUGGAAAAAUGGCUCUCAGAGUUCCCGCCUCUGCAGUAGAGGAAGACACUCCAGAAGGAGUUGAGAAUGGGUGCUGAGUGCCUCUUCAGGAUGUCUGUCACACCUCAGGAAACCUGCCAGGAAUACCAAAGGGAGUGAAAAAUCCAAGGAAUACUUGUCAUUGAAAUUAGGGCCCACCUGGAUAAUCCAUGAUGAUCUCAUCUCAAGAUCCUUAACUUAAUGACAUCUGCAGAGACUGGUUUAUCAAAUAAGGGACUGUGGCUAUAUCGCUGACCUCAAGAAAACCUGCGGACAAAAUCUGCUAAAGAAGUAUCAGCAUCUAUUUCAAAAGUUAGCCAUUAUUUUAAGAAGACUGUGCUGGAAGACGGGUAUUUAACACAAACAGAUGCAAAAGAUACGGGGUUUCACCGUGUUGACCAGACUGAUUUUGAACUUCUGGGCUCAAUCAGUCCACCUGCCUCGGCCUCCCAAAGUGCUGAGAUUAUAGGUGUGAGCCCCUGCGCCUGGCCAGGGAUGCCGUUCUUCACUCUCCAAUUGAGCAGCCAUUAUAUAUCAGGCACUAUAGGAGUUCCUGGAGGAUACUGGUCUGAAGUUAGCAUGAUCUUGACUCAAGAAACUUAUAGUCCUGAUAAGAACUUCCACCAGAAUUCCAGAUAAGGCAGCACAGGCCUUGCUGUUUGCCCAUGCCCAUGCGGUCAGCUCUCUUGGGUACCGUGGCAUGCAGAUGCAGACACUCACCCAAGACACCCUGUAGUGCUGAUUACUGGCUGAAGACACUGAAUAUCUGAUAUAGUUUGGAUGUUUGACCCCUCCAAAUCUCAUGUUGAAACUAGAUUCCCAGUGUUGGAGGUGGGGCCCGGUGGGAGGUGUUUGGAUUGUGGGAUUGGAUCCCUUAUGGCCAUCUUGGUGCCAUCCUUGUGGUAAUGAGCAAGUUCUUUAUCUACUAGUUCCUGAGCGAUCUGGUUGCUAAAAAGAGUCUAGCAGCAUCAUCCGCUCCCUCUCCUCCUCUCUUACCAUGUGAUAUGCACACACCGGCUACCCUUCACCUACUGCUCCAGCACCACGCUUCAUGUACAGCCUGUAGAACUCUGAGCCAAAUAAACCUCUUUUCUUUAUAAAUUA